ACGGAGUGCUUCGGCACUUAGUGGCGGACGGGUGAGUAACGCGUGAGAAUCUGGCUUUGGGUUCGGGACAACAGCGGGAAACUGCUGCUAAUACCGGAUGUGCCGAAAGGUAAAAGAUUAAUUGCCCAAAGAUGAGCUCGCGUCCGAUUAGCUAGUUGGUGUGGUAAGAGCGCACCAAGGCACCGAUCGGUAGCUGGUCUGAGAGGACGAUCAGCCACACUGGGACUGAGACACGGCCCAGACUCCUACGGGAGGCAGCAGUGGGGAAUUUUCCGCAAUGGGCGAAAGCCUGACGGAGCAGUACCGCGUGAGGGAGGAAGGCUCUUGGGUUGUAAACCUCUUUUCUCAGGGAAGAACAAAAUGACGGUACCUGAGGAAUCAGCAUCGGCUAACUCCGUGCCAGCAGCCGCGGUAAUACGGAGGAUGCAAGCGUUAUCCGGAAUGAUUGGGCGUAAAGCGUCCGCAGGUGGCACUUCAAGUCGAUUGUCAAAGGUCCUGGCUCAACUGGGAACAGGCAGUGGAAACUGAAAUGCUAGAGUGCGGUAGGGGUAGAGGGAAUUCCCGGUGUAGCGGUGAAAUGCGUAGAGAUCGGGAAGAACACCAGUGGCGAAAGCGCUCUACUAGGCCUGCACUGACACUCAGGGACGAAAGCUAGGGGAGCGAAUGGGAUUAGAUACCCCAGUAGUCCUAGCCGUA
rnacentral:rRNA from 1 species